AAGGAGAAGUCGUAACAAGGUUUCCGUAGGUGAACCUGCGGAAGGAUCAUUGUCGAACCUGCAUUAUGCAAAAAACAACCAAAGGCGCGGGAUGCGCCAAGGAAAAUCGAAACGAAUCUGACUCCUGCCUCGGUGCAUUGCAUCGUGUCGGCGAGUGUAUUCGAUAAGUCAUAACGACUCUCGGCAACGGAUAUCUCGGCUCUCGCAUCGAUGAAGAACGUAGCAAAAUGCGAUACGUGGUGUGAAUUGCAGGAUCCCGUGAACCAUCGAGUUUUUGAACGCAAGUUGCGCCCGAAGCCUUUAGGCCGAGGGCACGUCUGCCUGGGCGUCACGCACCGUUGCCCCCCAAACCCCCUCAGUCCUCCACGGAGGAUUGGCGAGGCGCGUGGGGGGCGUAAAGUGGCUUCCCGUCGGCUUUGUCCCGCGGUUGGCCUAAAAAUGAAUCCCUAGCCGCGGUGCGCGCGGCAUUCGGUGGUCAUCGAUCCCUUUCGUUACCCCGCCGCGCGCUCACGUGCCGCGAAGGAUGUCACACUAGUAAACCCGACGCCUCGCUUUGUGAAGAGCGGAGCUUACAACGCGACCCCAGGUCAGGCGGGGCUACCCGCUGAA
rnacentral:rRNA from 1 species